UCACAGCAUAGCACACUCCUUUGUCCCCUCUCUCCCCUCCCUCUUUCCCUGUCUCCCUCCCUUCCUCACUCCCUCUGUUUUUCCUCUCUCUCUCCCCUCCUUCUCUCGGUCUCCCUCCCCCUCUGUUUUUCCUCUCUCCUUUGUCUCUCCCCUCCCUCUCUCCCUCCCUUCCUGUUUUUCCUCUCCUUUGUCCCCCCUCUCUGUCUCUCUUUUCCCUCUCUCUCUCCUCUGUCCUUUCUUUCUUUCUUUCUCUUUCUCCUUUCCUCUUUGUUCUCUUAGCUCUCUUAGCUCUCCGACCUGACCUCACCUCUCCUCUCUCUCUCUUUCCUUCCUUCCUUCUUUCUUUCUUUCUUUCUUUCUUUCCUUCCUUCCUUCCUUCCCUCCCUCCCUCCCUCCCUCCCUCCUCUUCCACCCCAGCUUUCGUGCCAAUCGCAGAAAAGCCGCCUGGGCUUCCCACGAGCGAGUUCCUUCCAGGAGAGGGCAGCCGCGCCACCGCGGAAAUAAAACUCCAGAGCCAAUCCAGACGAGCGCAGAGAGGCGAGAAAGCAAGCAGUGCGAAGCGUUUCGGCUCCCGAGUUCUCCGGCCACAGCAGCUCAAACGUGGUGCUUCCCUCCUCUGCCGUUUUCCUACAACAGCCCUGCGAGGGAGGUUGGAGAGAGAGAGAGAGAGAGAAUGAGAAUGAACAGAAGGAUUCACAAUGGGCUGGGGAAGGAGAACGGCUUUGUCACCUUUUGGAAUCCAAACUGGAAGAGAGGAGGAAAGGUAAUAAGGAGAGCAAGUUGUUGUUUGUCAUAGUCUGGUGCAGAAUUAGAACUUAGAAUAACUUUAUUGUCCAUAUGGAAAACUCCAAAUACCCCUAAGGAAGAAUUGACAAUAAAGUAACAGAAAGUGCUGAGAUGAACAUGUUAACACUGAAACUGAAACUGAAAGAAAAAGAUGACUCUGAAUUCUUUUUAAUUUGGAAUAAUUGGCAUCAAUGUUUAACAAACAGAACUAAGAAGUGAGACAAGAAACCUAACUGGAGUAAUCCUUAAGAGAGUAAAAUAUAACUUUGUAAAUUAUACAAAGAUACAAGGAUAGUAAUUAUAGUUGAAGUUAUCAGUUAAUAUUAGACAAAUGUAAUAUAAUGUAUUACGAUAUUUAAAACAAGAACCUGUAUGGAUGCCAAGAAUGCUGUCAAAACCAUGAUGUUUUAGAUGUAAU
rnacentral:lncRNA from 1 species